UAUCUCUGUAGAGUCUGCAUAUCAAUAAGCGGAGGAAAAGAAACUAACUAGGAUUCCCUCAGUAACGGCGAGUGAAGCGGGAAGAGCUCAAAUUUGAAAUCUUCAAGGUUUGACCUUGACGAAUUGUAGUUUAAAGAAGUGUUUUCGGUUAGAGGAGUAGUAAAAGUUCUUUGGAAUAGGACAUCAUAGAGGGUGAGAAUCCCGUAUUUGACUAUUCUUUCUAGCUUUGUGAUACACUUUCAAAGAGUCGGAUUGUUUGGGAAUGCAGUCCAAAAUGGGUGGUAAAUUUCAUCUAAAGCUAAAUAUUGGCGAGAGACCGAUAGCGAACAAGUACCGUGAGGGAAAGAUGAAAAGAACUUUGAAAAGAGAGUUAAACAGUACGUGAAAUUGUCAAAAGGGAAGCGUUUGACACCAGUGUUGUUUUUCCGAAAAUCAAUUAAAAAUUGAUUCAUGCCAGGUUGUAUUGACCUUAUCAGCUUGCAAUUUGGUUUUGGGUCUCUUUUUGAUGCACUUUUCGGUUAACAAGUCAACAUCAAUUUCCUUUGCUGUAAAGGAGUAUAGGAAGGUGGCUUUCAUUUCGGUAGAAGUGUUUAUAGCCUUUUAUCUCUGCAGUCGGGGAGAUUGAGGUCUGCAGCGUAGAUCCUUCGGGGCUAGAUACAUUUAUGCUAAGUUAUAGCUUUUCAUAGACAACUUGUUGACUAUGUUUAGUCAUGUAGCUUACUCGUAAGUGCUAUUUUACCUACGCUUAGGAUGUUGAAGACUCUACAGAGAUA
rnacentral:rRNA from 1 species